ACUAUCCUUAUCUUGGGGUUGCGCUACUGUUCAAUGAACGUCUAGUGAGGACAGUACUGCUAACACCUACACAACACUUUAGACUAUUUCAAAUGGUCUCGCAGUACACAAUUUUUUGCCCA
ensembl:snRNA